UGAUAGAGGCGCGGACGCCAUGCGUACCGCGGAGCCAACGGCCCGGCAGGCCGGCUUCGCGGGAGAGGGACGCCCGCCGAAGGCGCGGGGCCUGCCAAGCCCCCAGCCUGGGCCGUGGGAGAACAUCCCCCGGACUGUCACGAAAUGUGGAGCGCUAUCCGG
rnacentral:ncRNA from 1 species